UGGGGAAUAUUGCACAAUGGGCGAAGCCUGAUGCAGCGACGCCGCGUGAAGGAUGAAGUAUUUCGGUAUGUAAACUUCUAUCAGCAGGGAAGAAAAUGACGGUACCUGACUAAGAAGCCCCGGCUAACUACGUGCC
rnacentral:rRNA from 1 species